rnacentral:rRNA from 1 species
UACGUAGGGGGCAAGCGUUGUCCGGAUUUAUUGGGCGUAAAGAGCGUGUAGGCGGCUUUACAGGUCCGUUGUGAAAACUCGAGGCUCAACCUCGAGACGCCGGUGGAAACCGUAAGGUUAGAGUCCGGAAGAGGAGAGUGGAAUUCCUGGUGUAGCGGUGAAAUGCGCAGAUAUCAGGAGGAACACCCGUGGCGAAAGCGGCCACCUGGACUGCACCUGACGCUGACACGCGAAAGCUAGGGGAGCGAACGGG